GACGAACGCUGGCGGCGUGCCUAACACAUGCAAGUCGAACGGGACCGGGGGCAACUCCGGUUCAGUGGCGGACGGGUGCGUAACACGUGAGGAACAUGACCUUCGGCGGGGGAUAGCCGGCCCAACGGCCGGGUAAUACCGCGUACGACCUUUCGGGGACAUCCCCGGAUGGUGAAAGCAGCAAUGCGCCGAUGGAGUGCCUCGCGGCCUAUCAGCUAGUUGGUGGGGUAACGGCCUACCAAGGCGACGACGGGUAGCUGGUCUGAGAGGAUGGCCGGCCACAUUGGGACUGAGACACGGCCCAGACUCCUACGGGAGGCAGCAGUGGGGAAUAUUGCGCAAUGGACGAAAGUCUGACGCAGCGACGCCGCGUGUGGGAUGACGGUCUUCGGAUUGUAAACCACUGUCGGGAGGGACGAAUACGCCGCAAGGCGGGUGACGGUAGGUGGGGAAGAAGCACCGGCCAACUACGUGCCAGCAG
rnacentral:rRNA from 1 species